CUAACUCUGAGAUUAAAUGCUCUUCAGGUGGGACAGCAGAAAAAAUGGGCCGGAGUUAAGUGAAACAAAGUCAGCCGUGUCGGGGGCAGCAGGAGGCUUCCCUGCUCGCCUUUUCCUCUCAGAACACAGACCAGGUGGGGCAUCUUCUCUCGGAAGAUCCCUCGCUGCUGGGGAGGCAGAAGCUACUAAAAAUGACUUAUGGCUGUUAAACGGUGCACUCACAGGCAAGAGGGACCUGGGGAAUGCACCCGCCAGCCAGGGAGGAGCUCUUUUGCUGUCCUGCUGUCCACAGCCGUUUCCUGGGGUCAUCUGCCGGCUUUGAUAUCUCAGAGGUGGAGUUAUUCCGGUUGGCACUUUUGAGACUGGGAGCUGGGAAGCUGUCGGCUCAUUUACGACUGUGGAGCCCCAAGAUAGGUGCCCCCAGAUCAAGGUUACUUCCUCAUACACCAUAGGGCCUGAGGCUAAGCAUAAAUGUGUCAAACGCCUGUGGGGCGGACUUUGCCUACAGACCAGCCCCCGGGAGAUGCUGACCCUCAGGCCUAGGGCUUCACUGAGUUCAGCCUGCCGGGAAGUAGGUGCUGCCUUGCAGGUUGAAGGGCUUCUGGAGUUUGGGAUCCAACAAGGAGAAUUCAACUAUAGAGUCCCAAAGAGAGAAGGAGUGGACGCUUUGGUAUGUCAAGUGAGAAAGAGGGUUGUGGCCCUGUUGCAGGUGGCUGAUGAGGACAAAAACAGAGUGAGCCCUAGGACUCCAUAGGUCUGGCAAAUGCAGAAACACUCAGGUGGCCCUACUUGUGGAGAUGGCUGCCUGGGGCCUGGGACUUCUGGGCACAAGCAUGGAGGCCCCCCAGCCUGAGGUCCCUCUGGCUGACUGCUCGGAAGAAGUGUGGCCACCAGCAGGAGACGCCCUCCAUAGGAGGAGGGGCAGUGCUGAGCUGGGCAGCAAGCUGGGCUGGUUGACCUCCCCGGCAUGCCUGCCACAGCUGCCCGGGGUGGGCACCACUGCCCACCAUGCAGAAAAAAGCACCACUGACUGUGGCUUCCUGGGAGCACCUCCAAAGCCCCCUAAUAUGCCAGUAGGGCUCAGGGAGGGACCAACAGAUGACUUGGAAUGAUAUUGCAAUUUCUGCCCAGUUUUGUGAGUAGGGUGUCUUGAAACAGAUUUAAUUGCAGUUGGAUAAAUGAAUGCGGCCUUUCUUGUGUCCAAAUACCAUGGAGGUAUCCACAUCUGCCACUUCCAUGGAGAAAGCGCGGGGUCUGGACAGAGCGGCCCACAGUAAAGGCCCUGCAGAGGAGUGUGACCAGAGGGCCCUGAGGGAGUGGACUGACCGAAGACCAUGCGGCCACGCACGGCUCCCGGGUUUGGGUGGAUGAGAGUAGUCCCUGCAGAAGUUUGGGGUCAGGGCUGGUUAACUCCUUCCCCACAACCCCACGACCAGGUUAUGAUGCAAGCAAGUCUCCAUGCAAAUUCUGCCCCAGAGAGACAUGUAAAUCCA
rnacentral:lncRNA from 1 species